GACUUGGUAGCCUAGUUGGUAAAGGUAGCACUUCUAGUAAAGUGUCUUAGAUUCUAACUAAGGCUUCUGGUUCAAAGCCUGCCCAAGUUG